GCGGUUGCGUUACGGAGCGCGCGCAGGGUCCUAGCGCCGCCACCGCCAUCUUGUGACGGGCUCUGGGCGGAGUUUCCGCCCCGCGUGCUGGCCGGGAGCUUCGGGAGCACGGGGCGCUUGUGUUCCAGAGAAGUGUCCUUGUUCCCAUUUGUGGGCGUGCCGGGGUAAAACGAAGUGACUCCACUUCGUGCAGAUAAUAAGGGAAAUGACAUUAAGUAUGUGGGCCAAAUGAAAGAGAAUACUAAAGCAUUCUGGUAAGGCAAUCUAAAUGACCAGCCUGAAACCUGGCUUCCAGGAGAUUCUCUGCCUGGGUUCUUCAGUCUACAAUCUGAAAUGAAUGCAUGCCACAGCCUCUGUUUCACUGGAAGCUUUAAUAAAUUCUCUAUCUAGCAACA